rnacentral:rRNA from 1 species
GGGCUCCUUCGGGAGCACCGGCGGACUGCUCAGUAACACGUGGACAACCUACCCUCGGGUGGGGGAUAACCUCGGGAAACUGAGGCUAAUACCCCAUAGGCCUCGGAUACUGGAAGGUUCCGAGACCGAAAGCUCCGGCGCCCGAGGAUGGGUCUGCGGCCUAUCAGGUAGUUGGUGGUGUAAAGGACCACCAAGCCUACGACGGGUACGGGCCCUGAGAGGGGGAGCCCGGAGAUGGACUCUGAGACACGAGUCCAGGCCCUACGGGGCGCAGCAGGCGCGAAACCUUCGCAAUGCGCGAAAGCGCGACGAGGGGAGCCCGAGUGCCCUUCCUUUCGGGAGGGCUUUUCUGGAGCCUAAAAAGCUCCAGGAAUAAGGGCUGGGCAAGACGGGUGC